rnacentral:rRNA from 1 species
UACAGAGGGGGCAAGCGUUGUUCGGAAUUACUGGGCGUAAAGGGCGCGUAGGCGGCCUGCUAAGUCGCACGUGAAAUCCCCGGGCUCAACCCGGGAACUGCGUCCGAUACUGUCAGGCUUGAAUCCGGGAGAGGGAUGUGGAAUUCCAGGUGUAGCGGUGAAAUGCGUAGAUAUCUGGAGGAACACCGGUGGCGAAGGCGGCAUCCUGGACCGGUAUUGACGCUGAUGAGCGAAAGCCAGGGGAGCAAACGGG